CUCUGUGGACUCAGAGGUCAUCCCACCGGUCAAGUGUGAGGCCAUGUACCAGGCAGCUGUCUCCAAGCGGGCAGACAACACCAUCCCCAGCGGGGUCAUGGAGGAGUCGGGGGUCUGUUCCCUGCCUGGGGGACUUGCAAGUGUGAGGAAACAAUUUGAGACCCAGGAAACUGCAUCAUCACAUAAUGUAACCCAGUUUCAUUUCCAUCACAGAACCGUGCAGGAAAUGUCCCAUUCAGAGGUGACAGAGUCAAGUGACACCAGGCAGGUCCUCCCAGGCAGUCA
rnacentral:lncRNA from 1 species